CUUCGUUGCGACAUUUUUGGUCCCUUCUGCUUCCGGUCUGCGCGUCAGUCACGCUGUUCCCUCUCGUGCAUCCCUGAAAUUAUUUGCGAUUUCCGCCCCUACGGGCAUCAAGGGAACGAUACUUCGCACGGCGCGAAGAAUGCGCGUGUGAAUUUCCACGUGCCCUUUCGCAGAGAAUGCCACGAGAACGAAAUAUUCGCUGCACGCUCGCAUUGGGAGAGUCAGGAACAGGACCAACCACUACCACAAUUUCCAUCGGCGCGCGGUAUCCGGUCGAUCGCAAUAGAAUUAUACAAUUAGCGCGGGCGACGAAAAAUUCGAUUCAAGAACGAUCGCCAGUUCUCCUACGUAACGCUGGUCCUUGAGCCUUACCUGCAAUGUUCAAAGUGUCGAUAACCACUUCAGAAUUGUUAACAUUGUCGCAAUAUUUUUCACACAUUAACUUUAAAUAUUAAUUUAUUACACUAACGUGAAUUAUACGUGAAUUAUGACUAGUACUUAAAAGUUAACAUCUUGCUCGCAGCACUUGUGAACAACUUGCUCAAGAUAUUCGUAACACGCAUUAGCGAUGCGCAUUCAGAUAACUGUGUUGAAUUCCGGUCUUUCGUGCGGAUAUCAAGUAAUCGUGUGGGCCUGUAUUGCGACGUCUUAGCGAAGCUAACCGAGUGGCUCGGUAAUUGCCGCUACUAGUACCGUUUAACCCGUAACAAGUCCUUUCGCGAGGAGACAUAACGUACGCAAAACUUUAGGCAAACAUAUGUAGUCCAAGUUUCUAACAAGAUAUAUUCCUGCGAGCGAACACGCAGGUCCGUAGCCAAGGCAAGCACGAGCAGCGACAUUCACUUGUAAUAAAUUUAAAUACUGUCUUGUUAACGAUUUAUUGGACAUCUUGUAUAAAAUUAUAGGAAUCGCGGUAUCAGACUUGUCCUGUUUUCGCUAUUAAACUUUUCAGAUUUUCUCUUCCAA